rnacentral:rRNA from 1 species
CGCGUAGGCGGUCUGCUAAGUUGGAUGUGAAAACUCUGGGCUUAACCCAGAGCCUGCAUUCAAUACUGACAGGCUAGAGUUCUGGAGGGGAUAGCGGAAUUCCUGGUGUAGCGGUGAAAUGCGUAGAUAUCAGGAGGAACACCGGUGGCGAAGGCGGCUAUCAGGACAGAGUCUGACGCUGAGGCGCGAAAGCUAGGGGAGCAAACA